rnacentral:rRNA from 1 species
GAGGGUGCGAGCGUUGUUCGGAAUUACUGGGCGUAAAGCGCGCGCAGGCGGCUCUUUAAGUCUAUGGGUGAAAGACCGGGGCUCAACCCCGUGUCAGCCCGGGAUACUGGGGAGCUAGGGACAUGUAGGGGCGAGCGGAAUUCCGGGUGUAGCGGUGGAAUGCGUAGAGAUCCGGAAGAACACCGGGGGCGAAGGCGGCUCGCUGGGCAUGGUCCGACGCUGAGGCGCGAAAGCGUGGGGAGCGAACAGGAUUAGAUACCCUGGUAGUCCACGCCGUAAACGAUGGGCACUAGAGGCGGGGGGAUCGGCCCCUUCCGUCUCGCAGCUAACGCGUUAAGUGCCCCGCCUGGGGAGUACGGCCGCAAGGCUG